GCGCGAGUGGCUCAGUUGGUAGAGCAUCUCCUUGCCAAGGAGAGGGUCGCGGGUUCGAUUCCCGUCUCGCGCU
rnacentral:tRNA from 1 species